rnacentral:snoRNA from 1 species
CUGCAACACUGUGGCAGAUGAUUGAAACUGUCUGACACAAUUUGAGCUUGCUAUAGCAUGAGUCUAACCUAUUCCAGCGCUCUCUCCUCUAUGAGACAAGCCGUUAUAUAGACUUAAACAGU